rnacentral:rRNA from 1 species
GGUUAAGCGACUAAGCGUACACGGUGGAUGCCCUGGCAGUCAGAGGCGAUGAAGGGCGUGCUAAUCUGCGAUAAGCGCCGGUAAGGUGAUAUGAACCGUUAUAACCGGCGAUACCCGAAUGGGGAAACCCAGUGUGACUCGUCACACUAUCAUUAACUGAAUCCAUAGGUUAAUGAGGCGAACCGGGGGAACUGAAACAUCUAAGUACCCCGAGGAAAAGAAAUCAACCGAGAUUCCCCCAGUAGCGGCGAGCGAACGGGGAGGAGCCCAGAGCCUGAAUCAGCAUGUGUGUUAGUGGAAGCGUCUGGAAAGGCGCGCGAUACAGGGUGACAGCCCCGUACACAAAAGCGCAUGUGCUGUGAGCUCGAUGAGUAGGGCGGGACACGUGGUAUCCUGUCUGAAUAUGGGGGGACCAUCCUCCAAGGCUAAAUACUCCUGACUGACCGAUAGUGAACCAGUACCGUGAGGGAAAGGCGAAAAGAACCCCGGCGAGGGGAGUGAAAAAGAACCUGAAACCGUGUACGUACAAGCAGUGGGAGCCCCACCACUAAGCCAGUGGUGAACUCCACAUACGCAUCCUUUGCUGAGGAUACGGUUAACGGAGCGAAAGCGACGUUCAACCGCAAAAGAAGCAGAGGGGGCUUAGUGGUGGGGUGACUGCGUACCUUUUGUAUAAUGGGUCAGCGACUUAUAUUCUGUAGCAAGGUUAACCGAAUAGGGGAGCCGGAGGGAAACCGAGUCUUAACCGGGCGUUAAGUUGCAGGGUAUAGACCCGAAACCCGGUGAUCUAGCCAUGGGCAGGUUGAAGGUUGGGUAACACUAACUGGAGGACCGAACCGACUAAUGUUGAAAAAUUAGCGGAUGACCUGUGGCUGGGGGUGAAAGGCCAAUCAAACCGGGAGAUAGCUGGUUCUCCCCGAAAGCUAUUUAGGUAGCGCCUCGUGAAUUCAUCUCCGGGGGUAGAGCACUGUUUCGGCUAGGGGGCCAUCCCGGCUUACCAACCCGAUGCAAACUGCGAAUACCGGAGAAUGUUAUCACGGGAGACACACGGCGGGUGCUAACGUCCGUCGUGAAGAGGGAAACAACCCAGACCGCCAGCUAAGGUCCCAAAGUCAUGGUUAAGUGGGAAACGAUGUGGGAAGGCCCAGACAGCCAGGAUGUUGGCUUAGAAGCAGCCAUCAUUUAAAGAAAGCGUAAUAGCUCACUGGUCGAGUCGGCCUGCGCGGAAGAUGUAACGGGGCUAAACCAUGCACCGAAGCUGCGGCAGCGACACUAUGUGUUGUUGGGUAGGGGAGCGUUCUGUAAGCCUGUGAAGGUGGCCUGUGAGGGUUGCUGGAGGUAUCAGAAGUGCGAAUGCUGACAUAAGUAACGAUAAAGCGGGUGAAAAGCCCGCUCGCCGGAAGACCAAGGGUUCCUGUCCAACGUUAAUCGGGGCAGGGUGAGUCGACCCCUAAGGCGAGGCCGAAAGGCGUAGUCGAUGGGAAACGGGUUAAUAUUCCCGUACUUGGUGUUACUGCGAAGGGGGGACGGAGAAGGCUAUGUUGGCCGGGCGACGGUUGUCCCGGUUUAAGCGUGUAGGUGUGUGUUCCAGGUAAAUCCGGUUCACUUUAACACUGAGGCGUGAUGACGAGGCACUACGGUGCUGAAGCAACAAAUGCCCUGCUUCCAGGAAAAGCCUCUAAGCAUCAGGUAACAUCAAAUCGUACCCCAAACCGACACAGGUGGUCAGGUAGAGAAUACCAAGGCGCUUGAGAGAACUCGGGUGAAGGAACUAGGCAAAAUGGUGCCGUAACUUCGGGAGAAGGCACGCUGACAUGUAGGUGAAGUGAUUUACUCAUGGAGCUGAAGUCAGUCGAAGAUACCAGCUGGCUGCAACUGUUUAUUAAAAACACAGCACUGUGCAAACACGAAAGUGGACGUAUACGGUGUGACGCCUGCCCGGUGCCGGAAGGUUAAUUGAUGGGGUCAGCGCAAGCGAAGCUCCUGAUCGAAGCCCCGGUAAACGGCGGCCGUAACUAUAACGGUCCUAAGGUAGCGAAAUUCCUUGUCGGGUAAGUUCCGACCUGCACGAAUGGCGUAAUGAUGGCCAGGCUGUCUCCACCCGAGACUCAGUGAAAUUGAACUCGCUGUGAAGAUGCAGUGUACCCGCGGCAAGACGGAAAGACCCCGUGAACCUUUACUAUAGCUUGACACUGAACAUUGAGCCUUGAUGUGUAGGAUAGGUGGGAGGCUUUGAAGUGUGGACGCCAGUCUGCAUGGAGCCGACCUUGAAAUACCACCCUUUAAUGUUUGAUGUUCUAACGUGGACCCGUAAUCCGGGUUGCGGACAGUGUCUGGUGGGUAGUUUGACUGGGGCGGUCUCCUCCUAAAGAGUAACGGAGGAGCACGAAGGUUGGCUAAUCCUGGUCGGACAUCAGGAGGUUAGUGCAAUGGCAUAAGCCAGCUUGACUGCGAGCGUGACGGCGCGAGCAGGUGCGAAAGCAGGUCAUAGUGAUCCGGUGGUUCUGAAUGGAAGGGCCAUCGCUCAACGGAUAAAAGGUACUCCGGGGAUAACAGGCUGAUACCGCCCAAGAGUUCAUAUCGACGGCGGUGUUUGGCACCUCGAUGUCGGCUCAUCACAUCCUGGGGCUGAAGUAGGUCCCAAGGGUAUGGCUGUUCGCCAUUUAAAGUGGUACGCGAGCUGGGUUUAGAACGUCGUGAGACAGUUCGGUCCCUAUCUGCCGUGGGCGCUGGAGAACUGAGGGGGGCUGCUCCUAGUACGAGAGGACCGGAGUGGACGCAUCACUGGUGUUCGGGUUGUCAUGCCAAUGGCACUGCCCGGUAGCUAAAUGCGGAAGAGAUAAGUGCUGAAAGCAUCUAAGCACGAAACUUGCCCCGAGAUGAGUUCUCCCUGAGACUUUAAGUCUCCUGAAGGAACGUUGAAGACGACGACGUUGAUAGGCCGGGUGUGUAAGCGCAGCGAUGCGUUGAGCUAACCGGUACUAAUGAACCGUGAGGCUUAACCUU